rnacentral:rRNA from 1 species
GUCAAAUAAAUUAAAGUUGACGGCGGAUACCUAGGGACUCAGAGAUGAUGAAGGGCGCUGAAACCCGCGAUAGGCUUGGGGAAGCUGGAAACAAGCAUUGAUCCCAAGAUUCCCGAAUAGGACAACCUUAUAUACUCCUUAUUGAAUUCAUAGAUAAGCAAGAAAUAACCCAGUGAAUUGAAACAUCUUAGUAGCUGGAGGAAAAGAAAGCAAACGCGAUUCCCUUAGUAGCGGCGAGCGAACAGGGAUCAGCCUAAACCAAUUUUAUUAUAUUGGGGUCGUUGGGAAAGAGACAUUAAUAAACGAAAAAGUAAAUGAAGCAGCUGAAUCCUGCACCAAAGAUGGUGAAAGUCCCGUAGUUGAAAAAAAGUUUCCUCUUAUCCCGAGUAGCAUGGGGCACGUGAAAUCCCGUGUGAAUCUGCGAGGACCACCUCGUAAGGCUAAAUACUCCUGAGUCACCGAUAGUGAAGUAGUACCGCGAGGGAAAGGUGAAAAAGAACCCCUGUAGGGGAGUGAAAUAGAACAUGAAACCGUCAACUGACAAGCAGUGGGAGGGCUUUUAAGCCUGACCGCGUUCCUGUUGAAGAAUGAACCGGCGACUUAUAGGAGGUGGCACGGUUAAAAGACUUAAUCUUGAAGCCAGAGCGAAAGCAAGUCUGAAAUACGGCGAAUGUCACUUUUUAUGGACCCGAACCUGGGUGAUCUAACCAUGACCAGGGUGAAGCUUGGGUAAAGCCAAGUGGAAGCCCGAACCCACUGAUGUUGAAAAAUCAGGGGAUGAGUUGUGGUUAGGGGUGAAAUGCCAAUCGAACUCAGAGCUAGCUGGAUCUCCCCGAAAUGCGUUGAGGCGCAGCGGUUGUCGAUGGGUUAUCAAGGGGUAAAGCACUGUUUCGGUGCGGGCUGCGAAAGCGGUACCAAAUCGUGGCAAACUAAGAAUACUUGAUAUGCUUUCCGGCAACCAGUGAGACAGUGGGGGAUAAGCUUCAUUGUCGAGAGGGAAACAGCCCAGAUCAUCAGCUAAGGCCCCUAAAUAACUGCUAAGUGGGAAAGGAGGUGAGAAUGCUCAGACAACCAGAAGGUUUGCUUAGAAGCAGCCAUCCUUGAAAGAGUGCGUAAUAGCUCACUGGUUUAGCGUUCUUGCGCCGAAAAUGGCCGGGACUAAGUAGUUUGCCGAAGCUGUGGGAUGUCAAUAGACAUCGGUAGGGGAGCGUUCCGCUGUAGGGUGAAGCGUUAUCGAAAGAAAGCGUGGACGAAGCGGAAGUGAGAAUGUCGGUUUGAGUAACGAAAACACUGGUGAGAAUCCAGUGCCCCGAAAACCUAAGGGUUCCUCCACUAGGCUCGUCCAUGGAGGGUUAGUCAGGACCUAAGGCAAGACCGAAAGGUGUAGUCGAUGGUAAACAGGUUAAUAUUCCUGUACUCAUAACAAUUUUGUACCGAGGGACGGAGAAGACUAGUAAGGAUUCGUAUUGGAUUAGAUUCCUUUUUUGGCUUCAAACUAGAUAAGAAAAAAAACUUAUUUAGUUGCCAUCGACAAUGUCAUACUUCCAAGAAAAGCUCGAACUACACAUAAAUUUACUGACCUGUACCCGAAACUGACACAAGUAGGUAGGUAGAGAAUACCAAGGGGAGCGAGAUAACUCUCUCUAAGGAACUCGGCAAAAUGGCCCCGUAACUUCGGGAGAAGGGGUGCCCCCCUAUGGGGGCCGCAGUGACCAGGCCCAAGCGACUGUUUACCAAAAACACAGGUCUCCGCUAAGUCGCAAGACAAUGUAUGGGGGCUGACGCCUGCCCAGUGCCGGAAGGUGAAGGAAGCUGGUUAUUCUUCGGAAGAAGCUGGUGACCGAAGCCCCGGUGAACGGCGGCCGUAACUAUAACGGUCCUAAGGUAGCGAAAUUCCUUGUCGGGUAAGUUCCGACCCGCACGAAAGGCGUAACGAUUUGGGCACUGUCUCGGAGAGAGGCUCGGUGAAAUAGACAUAUUCGUGAAGAUGCGAAUUAAUCAUACUUGGACAGAAAGACCCUAUGAAGCUUGACUGUAGUCUGGAAUUGGGUUUGGGCUUUUCUUGCGCAGACUAGGUGGGAGGCAGUGAUCAUUUCUUUCUGGAGAAGUGUGAGCCAUCAGUGAGAGACCACUCUUGAAGAGCUAGAAUUCUAAUGGCGGUCCUUAUAUCAGGACGCUUGACAGUUUCAGAUGGGCAGUUUGACUGGGGCGGUCGCCUCAUAAAAGGUAACUGAGGCGUACAAAGGUUCCUUCAGAAUGGACGGAAAUCAUUCGGAGAGUAUAAAGGUAUAAGGGAGCUUGACUGAAAGACCUACAAGUCGAACAGGGGCGAAAGCCGGUCUUAGUGAUCCGACGGUGCCGCGUGGAAGGGCCGUCGCUCAACGGAUAAAAGUUACUCUAGGGAUAACAGGCUGAUCUUCCCCAAGAGUUCACAUCGACGGGAAGGUUUGGCACCUCGAUGUCGAUUUCUCGCAACCUGGGGCGGUAGUACGUCCCAAGGGUUGGGCUGUUCGCCCAUGAAAGCGGGACGCGAGUUGGGUUCAGAACGUCGUGAGACAGUUCGGUCCAUAUCCAGUAUGAUCGUUAGAGUAUUGAAGUCAUUUUUCUCUAGUACGAGAGGACCGAGAAGGAGACGCCAAUAGUAUACCAGUUGUCAUUCCAAUGGCAUACGCUGGGUAGCCAUGCGUCGAGUGGAUAACUGCUGAAAGCAUAUAAGUAGGAAGCCCAGACUAAGAUGAGUACUCUCUUGAGGUCACGGGAAGAAAACCCGUUUAUAGGUGUUACGUGUAAGGUCAGUAAUGAUUUUAGCGGAGACAUACUAACAGACCAAUUGACUUUGAC